rnacentral:rRNA from 1 species
UGGGGAAUAUUGGACAAUGGGCGCAAGCCUGAUCCAGCCAUACCGCGUGGGUGAAGAAGGCCUUCGGGUUGUAAAGCCCUUUUGUUGGGAAAGAAAAGCAGCUGGUUAAUACCCGGUUGUUCUGACGGUACCCAAAGAAUAAGCACCGGCUAACUUCGUGCCAGCAGCCGCGGUACUACGAAGGGUGCAAGCGUUACUCGGAAUUACUGGGCGUAAAGCGUGCGUAGUUGGUUGUUUAAGUCCGUCGUGAAAGCCCUGGGCUCAACCUGGGAAUUGCGAUGGAAACUUGGCGACUAGAGUGUGACAGAGGAUAGUGGAAUUCCUGGUGUAGCAGUGCAAUGCGUAGAGAUCAGAAGGAACAUCCGUGGCGAAGGCGACUGUCUGGGCCAACACUGAAACUGAGGCACGAAAGCGUGGGGAGCAAACAGG